rnacentral:rRNA from 1 species
AUUGAACGCUGGCGGCAGGCCUAACACAUGCAAGUCGAGCGGAUGAGAGGAGCUUGCUCCUUGAUUUAGCGGCGGACGGGUGAGUAAUGCCUAGGAAUCUGCCUGGUAGUGGGGGAUAACGUUCCGAAAGGAACGCUAAUACCGCAUACGUCCUACGGGAGAAAGCAGGGGACCUUCGGGCCUUGCGCUAUCAGAUGAGCCUAGGUCGUGAUUAGCUAGUUGGUGAGGUAAUGGCUCACCAAGGCGACGAUCCGUAACUGGUCUGAGAGGAUGAUCAGGCACACUGGAACUGAGACACGGUCCAGACUCCUACGGGAGGCAGCAGUGGGGAAUAUUGGACAGUGGGCGAAAGCCUGAUCCAGCCAUGCCGCGUGUGUGAAGAAGGUCUUCGGAUUGUAAAGCACUUUAAGUUGGGAGGAAGGGCAUUAACCUAAUACGUUAGUGUUUUGACGUUACCGACAGAAUAAGCACCGGCUAACUUCGUGCCAGCCGCCGCCGUAAAAC